AUUGAACGCUGGCGGCAGGCCUAACACAUGCAAGUCGAACGAGUGGCGGACGGGUGAGUAUUGUCUGGGAAACUGCCCGAUGGAGGGGGAUAACUACUGGAAACGGUAGCUAAUACCGCCUACCAUCGGAUGUGCCCCGAUGGGAUUAGCUAGUAGGUGGGGUAACGGCUCACCUAGGCGACGAUCCCUAGCUGGUCUGAGAGGAUGAGCAGCAACAUUGGAACUGGGCAACGGGCCAGCCUCCUACGGGAGGCAGCAGUGGGGAAUAUUGCCCAAUGGGCGAAAGCCUGAUGCAGCCAUGCCGCGGGUAUGAAGAAGGCCUUCGGGUUGUAAAGUACUUUCAGCGGGGAGGCGUUACUCGCAGAAGAAGCACCGGCUAACUCCGUGCCAGCAGCCGCGGUAAUAC
rnacentral:rRNA from 1 species